rnacentral:rRNA from 1 species
GUGAGGAAUAUUGGUCAAUGGGCGAGAGCCUGAACCAGCCAAGUCGCGUGAAGGAAGACGGUUCUAUGAAUUGUAAACUUCUUUUGUGCAGGAAUAAAGUGGGUUACGUGUAACCUUUUGUAUGUACUGUACGAAUAAGGAUCGGCUAACUCCGUGCCAGCAGCCGCGGUAAUACGGAGGAUCCGAGCGUUAUCCGGAUUUAUUGGGUUUAAAGGGUGCGUAGGUGGAUUGAUAAGUCAGCGGUGAAAGUUUGCAGCUUAACUGUAAAAUUGCCGUUGAAACUGUCGGUCUUGAGUGCAAAUGAGGUAGGCGGAAUGUGUUGUGUAGCGGUGAAAUGCUUAGAUAUAACACAGAACUCCGAUUGCGAAGGCAGCUUACUGGGAUGCAACUGACACUGAUGCACGAAAGCGUGGGUAUCAAACAGGAUUAGAUACCCUUGUAGUCC